CAUCUCUGCUAUUGUGGAUGCCACCAAUCAAGCUAGGUCACAUUCCUGUCUUUACAGAUUGUGUGACAGGAAGGCCAGCUCUUCCCGUGACCAGGGAGGAGUGGAAAGAUCUAGAAGGGAGGGUCCUGGGAUGUGGCUCUGGCCCCUCUGCAGGAAGCAUCAAGGACAGAUAUUGAAUCACACGGAUCCAUCACACUAAUCACCUCCCUUUGGCAAGAAAAGGAGCCUUCUUCCUCUACAGCCGUCUAUCUGACAAAAAUCAGUUCUCUUGGAAACAGAGAUGGAGGACAUUGGGCCGGAACAAAAUGGCCAGUAGCUUUCUCUUCAGGUGCGUCCCCAAUUCUUGGGUGAGCUGUUCUUCGUGGAGGCCAGAUGCAUCGUUCCUUUCGCCUCAUCCCAGUCCUGCAGGAGACUUGUUUUGGCCAAUAGAGUAUGGCAGAAGCAACACUGUGGCAGUUCUGAGCCUUGGCCUCAACUUGGAACCUACCAUGCCAUGAGAGCAAGCCUGGGUCAGCCUGCCAGAGGAUGAGAGGCCAUGUGGAGGAGAGACAAACUGUCCCAGCUGAGGUCAUCCUGGACCAGCCAGCUCCCCGACUGACCCACCAGCUGACCAGAGAUGCAUAAGGAACGCCAGCUGAGAUCAGCCCAGACAAGCCCAGCUCAGCAGAACUGCCAACAAACCCACAGACCCAUG
rnacentral:lncRNA from 1 species